rnacentral:tRNA from 2 species
GCGAGAGUGGCGGAAUUGGCAGACGCGCUGGACUUAGGAUCCAGUGCCGCAAGGCGUAAGGGUUCAAGUCCCUUCUCUCGCA